UGAACGCUGGCGGCAGGCCUAACACAUGCACAUCGAACGGUAACAGGAAGAAGCUUGCUUCUUUGCUGACGAGUGGCGGACGGGUGAGUAAUGUCUGGGAAACUGCCUGAUGGAGGGGGAUAACUACUGGAAACGGUAGCUAAUACCGCAUAACGUCGCAAGACCAAAGAGGGGGACCUUCGGGCCUCUUGCCAUCGGAUGUGCCCAGAUGGGAUUAGCUAGUAGGUGGGGUAACGGCUCACCUAGGCGACGAUCCCUAGCUGGUCUGAGAGGAUGACCAGCCACACUGGAACUGAGACACGGUCCAGACUCCUACGGGAGGCAGCAGUGGGGAAUAUUGCACAAUGGGCGCAAGCCUGAUGCAGCCAUGCCGCGUGUAUGAAGAAGGCCUUCGGGUUGUAAAGUACUUUCAGCGGGGAGGAAGGGAGUAAAGUUAAUACCCUUGCUCAUUGACGUUACCCGCAGAAGAAGCACCGGCUAACUCCGUG
rnacentral:rRNA from 1 species